AUACUAGCAAUUCCGUCGGAUCAUGUGGCCUGAAACUGCUGUAAAUUUUCCCAAAAUGUCGUACCUCGCUGCAUGUGUCGGCUGUACGUUUCGUCAAAUGCAGAAAAACUAAAGAACAAUAAAAGGGAUUACGUUGAUCAUGGCCAUGAUGUUGAUCAACUUCUAACGGUUCCUUCAGUAGCCAUGAAGAUGGAUUGUGGUCGAGUUUUGUUUACUGUGAAUUGUGAUGAAUGACUUCAUUAGUCAUUAGUGGCCUAUCGAAUGAUGGCAUUAGUUAUAUUUCAGUUAAAUUUUCUAAAAGUAGAAGGUGUUCCUUUUUCAUUGAUUGAGAUUUGGAUGACAGUCCAAUGGAAGCCAAGGGAAGAUUCCACUCCUGCCUUAUCUGUGAUCCAGUGUAAUGAGGGCUGGUGGCAAGUCAUCUUCCGAACUUUCCCAGUGCGGAUGGACGGUCCGCCGUUCGAGCCAAUCGUCACGAUUUAAAACGGAGACAAGAAGCGAGUAAGUGUGAUUUUAUUUCAUUUUAAGAAUUUUCAAUAUUUCUUGACAGUUGAGGGCUAACAGCUGUAUAAUGAUUCGUUGUAAAGGAAGUAAGGAAAUUUGGGCUUUUAUGGGUACAUGAUGAUUUCGAUCCAGUGGGUCGGCGUCGACUAUUGUGUCCGUGGACACAUGGCGCAGUGUUAACAGUACUUGCUAUGAUUGCUAAAUGUAGUGAGGGGUUUUCAGUAAUGACACCUUGGCAAAAAGCUGAGUUUAGUUUUUAAGUGACGUAAAAUAUUUUUCAUUUUUAUUACUCUAUUACUAUUGAAACAUGAACGCAUUUAUUAUUUAUCAAAGAACCAGUUCCGUUUCCAACAAUGUGUAUUCGCAAUGAAUAUACUUGCCGCUAAAAAUGAUAAUGAAUUAAAAGCAGGAAUUGGUGGCCAAUGCUGUUAGGUGUGUAUCC